rnacentral:lncRNA from 1 species
AGGGAUGUUAUUUUGGGCAGUGCAUCUGGACUUGGUUCAAGUGGCACCAGCCAAAUCCCUGCCUUACUGACCUCUCCCCUGGAGGAGCAGGAGCAGCGCUCAAGGCCGCCUUGGGAGGGCUGAGAGGCAGGCUCUGGACUGGGGACACAGGGAUAGCUGAGCCCCAGCUGGGGGUGGAAGCUGAGCCAGAGACAGUCACAGAGGAACAAGAUCAAGAUGCGCUUUAACUGAGAAGCCCCCAAGGCAGAGGCUGAGAAUCAGAAGACAUUUCAGCAGACAUCUACAAAUCUGAAGGACAAAACAUGGUUCAAGCAUCUGGGCACAGGCGGAGCUGGUACCUUCGCUUAUACAAAUGUACUUACUUAUUACAUUUCAUUGCUGUCAGCUCCACGCAAGCAGGGAUAUUUGCCUGUUGUACACUUGCACGGAGAGAAUGAAUAGUGCCCCUCUGUUGACAUCAUUGCCUCUAGCCUACGUCUCUUUCCAGGGCUUUAGAUCCUGUUUCUAGAGACCCACUGGUGUCUCACAGGCAACUCAGCUCCUAGAUGGAAACAGCCUCCUCCGCCCCCCACAAGUCCACUCCUCCUGUGCUCUUGGCUCAGUCAGGGGUCCCCUUCUCUUCAGUUGCUCAAGCCAGAAGUCAAGGUCAUGUCCUUGAUACUUCCCUCUUCCCCAUGCCUCACAUCCAGUCACCAAUCUCCUAAAAUAUCUAGAAUGUGCACAGCUUCCACCAUUCUUUCUACCACCACCCUACUCCCCCAUGGCCAUGUCAGGCCACCACCCGCCCAUUCUUCAAAACUCCCUUCAGGCCUCACCUCCCAUGCCUCCCCUGAGUUCCCCCAGUCCCAGGCUGCUUCUCUCUGGUGGUGUUGCCAUUACCCAUCUCUUCUAUUAAACAGAGUGACCCAAGAGUGGAGAGUGGGUUUUGACUUUGUAUCCCUGGUGCUUGACUCAUAAGUAGGUGCUCAACAAAAAUUUUUUCUUUUUUUGAGAUGGAGUCUUGUUCUGUUGCCCAUGCUGGAGUGCAG